rnacentral:lncRNA from 1 species
AUUUCAGGAACAACUGUUACAGCCCACUGUUUAGAACACAGAACAUCCAUGUUCCAUGCUGUUGGUCUGGUGGUCAGGGCUCCGGUAAGAGAUGGUCCAGGUAGAACAUGUUCCAUGCUGUUGGUCUGGUGGUCAGGGCUCCGGUAAGAGAUGGUCCAGGUAGAACAUGUUCCAUGCUGUUGGUCUGGUGGUCAGGGCUCCGGUAAGAGAUGGUCUAGGUAGAACAUGUUCCAUGCUGUUGGUCUGGUGGUCAGGGCUCCGGUAAGAGAUGGUCUAGGUAGAACAUGUUCCAUGCUGUUGGUCUGGUGGUCAGGGCUCUGGUAAGAGAUGGUCUAGGUAGAACAUCCAUGACUAGCUACAUCAGCAC